UAGGGGGGACGGGGUUCGGCACCCCUCCCCAAACCCAGGGUAACCCUAAAAGUGGAGGGGAG
rfam:Heterocephalus glaber contig20264, whole genome shotgun sequence.